rnacentral:rRNA from 1 species
UAAAUACUCUCUAGUGACCGAUAGUGAACCAGUACCGUGAGGGAAAGGUGAAAAGUACCCCGGAAGGGGAGUGAAAGAGAACUUGAAACCGUGUGCUUACAAGUAGUCAGAGCCCGUUAAUGGGUGAUGGCGUGCCUUUUGUAGAAUGAACCGGCGAGUUACGAUCUGAUGCAAGGUUAAGCAGAAAAUGUGGAGCCGUAGCGAAAGCGAGUCUGAAUAGGGCGUAUAGUAUUUGGUCGUAGACCCGAAACCAGGUGAUCUACCCAUGGUCAGGUUGAAGUUCAGGUAACACUGAAUGGAGGACCGAACCGACUUACGUUGAAAAGUGAGCGGAUGAACUGUGGGUAGCGGAGAAAUUCCAAUCGAACUUGGAGAUAGCUGGUUCUCUCCGAAAUAGCUUUAGGGCUAGCCUCAAGUGAUGAUUAUUGGAGGUAGAGCACUGUUUGGACGAGGGGCCCCUCUCGGGUUACCGAAUUCAGACAAACUCCGAAUGCCAAUUAAUUUAACUUGGGAGUCAGAACAUGGGUGAUAAGGUCCGUGUUCGAAAGGGAAACAGCCCAGACCACCAGCUAAGGUCCCAAAAUAUAUGUUAAGUGGAAAAGGAUGUGGCGUUGCCCAGACAACUAGGAUGUUGGCUUAGAAGCAGCCAUCAUUUAAAGAGUGCGUAAUAGCUCACUAGUCGAGUGACACUGCGCCGAAAAUGUACCGGGGCUAAACAUAUUACCGAAGCUGUGGAUUGUCCUUUGGACAAUGGUAGGAGAGCGUUCUAAGGGCGUUGAAGCAUGAUCGCAAGGACAUGUGGAGCGCUUAGAAGUGAGAAUGCCGGUGUGAGUAGCGAAAGACGGGUGAGAAUCCCGUCCACCGAUUGACUAAGGUUUCCAGAGGAAGGCUCGUCCGCUCUGGGUUAGUCGGGUCCUAAGCUGAGGCCGACAGGCGUAGGCGAUGGAUAACAGGUUGAUAUUCCUGUACCACCUAUAAUCGUUUUAAUCGAUGGGGGGACGCAGUAGGAUAGGCGAAGCGUACGAUUGGAUUGUACGUCUAAGCAGUGAGAUUGAGUGUUAGGCAAAUCCGGCACUCUUAAGAUUGAGCUGUGAUGGGGAGAGGAAAUUGUUUCCUCGAGUCGUUGAUUUCACACUGCCGAGAAAAGCCUCUAGAUAGAGAUUAGGUGCCCGUACCGCAAACCGACACAGGUAGUCAAGAUGAGAAUUCUAAGGUGAGCGAGCGAACUCUCGUUAAGGAACUCGGCAAAAUGACCCCGUAACUUCGGGAGAAGGGGUGCUCUUUAGGGUGCAAGCCCAGAAGAGCCGCAGUGAAUAGGCCCAAGCGACUGUUUAUCAAAAACACAGGUCUCUGCUAAACCGUAAGGUGAUGUAUAGGGGCUGACGCCUGCCCGGUGCUGGAAGGUUAAGAGGAGUGGUUAGCUUCUGCGAAGCUACGAAUCGAAGCCCCAGUAAACGGCGGCCGUAACUAUAACGGUCCUAAGGUAGCGAAAUUCCUUGUCGGGUAAGUUCCGACCCGCACGAAAGGCGUAACGAUUUGGGCACUGUCUCAACGAGAGACUCGGUGAAAUCAUAGUACCUGUGAAGAUGCAGGUUACCCGCGACAGGACGGAAAGACCCCGUGGAGCUUUACUGUAGCCUGAUAUUGAAAUUCGGCACAGCUUGUACAGGAUAGGUAGGAGCCUUUGAAACGUGAGCGCUAGCUUACGUGGAGGCGUUGGUGGGAUACUACCCUAGCUGUGUUGGCUU